CUGCUUUAUUCAUAAUAGCCAAAAAUUAGAAACAACCUAGAUAUUCUUCAGUGGAUAGAUGGUUAAACAAACUGUGGUACAUCAACACUACGGAAUACUACUCAGCAACUGAAAACAAAUGAACUAUGGAUACACUCAACAACCUGGAUGAAUCACCAGAGAAUUACGACGAGUGGAGAAAAACAGCCAAUCUCAUAUGGUCAUAUACUCUAUCAGAAUCCAAGCAACAGGUUAGCUCCAUGUAUUUGGUGCAUGGUAAAGCCGAGUUGAGUGAAUAACUAAUUCUGUUUAAACCCCCUAUCCUUCUGCCUCCUCCCUUCUCUACGAAAUGAUACAUAGCAAUGAGGUAAGUAGGAUAAUACAUAGCCUCUUUAUGUAUUAGUUUUCUAUUGUGUAACAAAUUGCCCCCAGAAUUUAGUAGCUUAAGACAGUUUCUUUAGGUGAGGAUUGUGGGAGCAGUCUGGCUGGGUGGUCUGACCCAGUGUCUCUCAGAAAGUUGGUCUUGAACUCCUGACCUCAGAUGAUCCAACCGCCUCAGCCUCCUAAAGUACUGGGAUUACAGGUGUGAACCACCACGCCCAACUUCUCAUAAAGUUGGAAUCAUCUGAAGACCUGAUUGGAGCUGGAGGACUUGCUCUCAAGGUCACACACCAAUGGUUCUUUGCCAACUGUGAGCUGGAGGCCAAAGUUCCUCACCUCAUUGACCUCUUCACAGGGCUGCUUCAGUGUCCUGAUUACAUGGCAGACGGAUUCCCUCACAAACAAUUAAAC
rnacentral:lncRNA from 1 species